CCCAGAAGCAAAUUAAGGACAAACACCACAGAGGCUACAUACAGACCGCAGCCUUCUACAAGAUGGAACUCUUACUUGCAGAUGGCAAGAAUCUUAGGCAUCGUGAAGACAACCAAGAAGCUGAGGGGAAAGACAAACCCAGACCAAAACCAAAGUGAGCUAUCUGGACAUCCUGUGACAUCCUAUCUUGCAAAGGAACCAUCUGCUGUGCCUGCGGGACACCAAGCUAGUCUCUGGACAUGUGCCUCCCAACCUGCUGCCAUGUCCUAAUGCAGUGGCUAUGCCUUGUGAUGCUGGCAGCAAUGGUACACUAAGAACGAAACAGCAUGUGAGUGUGGGAAGCA